GAUAAACGCUGGCGGCGUGCAUAACACAUGCAAGUCGAACGAUGAAGAUUAAAAGAUUUCUUCGGAAUGAACUUAAUUGGAUUAGUGGCGGACGGGUGAGUAACGCGUGAGUAACCUGCCUUGUACAAGGGGAUAGCCGUUGGAAACGACGAAUAAUACCCUAUGACAUCAAAUAAUCGCAUGAUAAUUUGAUCAAAGAUUUAUCGGUAUAAGAUGGACUCGCGUCUGAUUAGCUAGUUGGUAGAGUAAAAGCCUACCAAGGCAACGAUCAGUAGCCGGCUUGAGAGAGUGUACGGCCACAUUGGGACUGAGACACGGCCCAGACUCCUACGGGAGGCAGCAGGGGGGAAUUUUGCACAAUGGGGGAAACCCUGAUGCAGCGACGCCGCGUGAUUUAGAAGGCCUUCGGGUUGUAAAAAUCUUUUGUAUGGGAAGAAAAUGACAGUACCAUACGAAUAAGGACCGGCUAAUUACGUG
rnacentral:rRNA from 1 species